GAUAAGAUCAUGAUUUUGCUUUGAAGAAACACCCCCCACACUCUGUCUGCAUAUAUUUAUGUACAGAUACAAACACAAACACAAACACACACAAAUUCCCAAUCUGUUAAUCACCUGAAACAUAUUUUGAUCUCAUAAUCAAAAGCUAAAUAUUCAGGUUAAGCUAUAUUGUUGUUUAAAUCAUUGGUCGUGACGAGUUGUUGACAUAAAUCAAUUUGAUGGCUGAAGAGCAGUUAGAUUAUGGAGAUGAGGAGCUUGGAGGGUCUCAAAAGAUGCAAUAUCAUGGGGAUGGAGCUAUUCCUGCACUUGCAGAUGAUGAGAUUGGAGGUGAGGAUGAUGAAUAUGAUGACCUCUACAAUGAUGUGAACGUUGGAGAAGGUUUCCAGCAAAUGCAACGGACCGAGUCACUACCAUCUGCUAAUGCUGGAAAUGGUGGGUUCCAUGAUCAAAAGCCUAACAUUCAAGAAACCCGACCUGAACACAUGGGGUCACAAGACAUAAAGAUACCCGGAGUUGCAUCAGAAAAAGUAUAUCCUAGUACCGUCUUGCGUCCCGAAAACAAGGAGGGUAUGACUGUUGAUCUUUUGCAAAAACGAAUGGCUCCUCAAAUGACUAAUGAUAUGGGUUUUCGAGGUUCAGUUCCUGUACCCCAAAGACCUACAGUUGAUCCUGUCAGUAUGUCGGGUCCAAUCUCAAAUGAGCCUGCACCAAUGCUUAAUUCUAAUACAGGUCAUGGCCUAGGUGGUGUUUCUCAAAUGCCAGGUAAUGUGAAUAUGACUCGGCCAACUGUUCAUGAUAAUCAAAUUCGACCACCUGCUGAAAAUGGUGCUACCACUCUCUUUGUUGGAGAGCUACAUUGGUGGACCACAGACGCUGAGCUCGAAAAUGUAUUAUCUCAAUAUGGAAGAGUCAAAGAGAUUAAGUUUUUUGAUGAAAGAGCCAGUGGUAAAUCAAAGGGAUAUUGUCAAGUUGAGUUUUUUGAAUCGAGCUCAGCUGCCGCUUGUAAAGACGGGAUGAAUGGGUAUGUUUUCAAUGGAAGGGCGUGUGUGGUAGCAUUUGCUUCCCCACAGACUAUAAGACAGAUGGGGGCUUCUUAUGCCAAUAAGAAUCAAGGACCUGCCCAAUCUCAGCCUGAACAACAGGGAAGGAGACCUAUGAAUGACGGGGCGGGAAGAGGUGGUGGAAAUAAUUUUUCUGGUGGAGAUGCAGGGCGGAAUUACGGUAGAGGUGGUAAUUGGGGACGUGGAGGAGGGCAGGGAGUUAUGAAUAGGGGUGGUGGGCACAUGAGAGGUAGAGGGGCUAUGGGGCCUAAAAAUAAUGCACCUGGUUUUGGAAAUGGGCCUGCUGGUGGUGCAUAUGGUCAACAAGGUCUUGGUGGUCCUCCUUUUGGCGGUCCUCCUGGCGGAUUCAUGCAUCCUCAAGGUAUGAUGGGUGGUGGUUUUGAUCCAACAUAUAUGGGCCGUGGAGCAGGUUAUGGUGGCUUUCCUGGUUCGGGGUUUCCUGGUAUGAUGCCUCAGUUUCCAGGUGUUAAUGCCAUGGGACUAGCUGGGGUGGCGCCUCAUGUGAACCCUGCUUUCUUUGGUCGAGGUAUGGGUGCAGGUGGCAUGGGAAUGAUGGGUACUGGUGGGAUGGAUGGGACCCAAGCAGGAAUGUGGGGCGACACCAGCAUGGGUGGAUGGGGUGGGGAAGAGCAAGGUCAAAGAACCCGAGAGUCCAGUUAUGGUGGUGAAGAUGGUGGUUCAGAAUAUGGGUAUGGAGGAGAAGCUAGCCAUGAAAAAGGAGUGCGUUCAAAUGCUGUUUCUCGGGAAAAAGAAAGAGGGUCUGAGCGUGAAUGGUCGGGAAAUUCUGAGAAAAGGCAUCGUGAUGAUCGGGAUCAGGACCGAGAGAGGUAUGAUAAGGAUUACAAGUACAAAGAGGAUAAAGAUAGUUACCGGGACCACCGUCAGAAGGAUCGUAACUCGGGUUAUGAAGACGACUGGGAUCGUGGACAGUCUUCUACUCGGUCUAGGAGUAGAUCACGAGCCAUGCCAGAAGAGGAUCACAGGUCUCGCUCUAAGGAUGCAGAUUAUGGGAAGCGGAGGCGUAUGCGGUCAGAUUGAGUUGGUCAACUGGUUCAUUCUUCUUGUAGGAUCUUUGGGCCUUCAACUUGUUGCUGUGUCAUUACACCAUGUGCAGAAUUCGCUUCCGGAUUCAAAAUCAAGUUAUACAUUAUCUAUUAGUAUGGGAAUGUUCAUAGAGCAACCAGGAUUAUACCACAGGUUUAGAUGCAGAGUACUUGAGCUAUCUAGAGUUACCAAGGUGGGUGUGUUGGUAACAGGUCGUAUCUAGAGUGGGUUGAAACAGGCUGGGGAACAGAAUGGCAGAAACCCUUUGUGUUUUGACCUGGGCGAAGCUGACUUCAUUCAUUGCUUAUGAAAUUGGCUAAGUAAAAUAAUGCAUCAACUGCCAUAUCUGCUGGUCUGCACAGAAAUUAGUUUUUUUUAUUUUCAGAUCUAGUCAAAAUUUAAUGUAUAUCUAAUGUUCUUUUGUAUCACCCCACUUUGUCAUGCAAAGUCAUCUAGCAUCUGAUUUUGUUGUAUUGGGUAUCUGUAUCUCUUUUUUAGGAUAGAGUAUUGGGCAUGAAACCCAUUCUUCUAUUGUAAAUACUGUUGUAACUUAUGCGGCAUUUAGCUUAGAUGUUGGCAACUUGUUUGUCUGUAAGCUCCAUAACGGAGAUGUAAUGUUUAGAUCAUGCUAGUGUUUUUGACCUUCAUGCUCCUCGGUUGCUUCUGUAUUUUAGAGGGCUGCAAUCGAAAUUUUCUGCAUGCUUGUAUGCUAUAGUUUUUUAGCUUUACAUUGUAACAUGAUUCAGUUGUACAUUGUAACAUGGUGUAUAUAGUUUUCAUUCUUGACUAGGAA